UUGGUUAAAGCCAAAAAGAGGCAGGUCCCUGUUAAGGACUAAAUUGGAAAAUCUGACCAUU
rnacentral:tRNA from 1 species